GACGAACGCUGGCGGCGUGCUUAACACAUGCAAGUCGAACGGAAAGGCCCUGCUUUUGUGGGGUGCUCGAGUGGCGAACGGGUGAGUAACACGUGAGUAACCUGCCCUUGACUUUGGGAUAACUUCAGGAAACUGGGGCUAAUACCGGAUAGGAGCUCCUGCUGCAUGGUGGGGGUUGGAAAGUUUCGGCGGUUGGGGAUGGACUCGCGGCUUAUCAGCUUGUUGGUGGGGUAGUGGCUUACCAAGGCUUUGACGGGUAGCCGGCCUGAGAGGGUGACCGGCCACAUUGGGACUGAGAUACGGCCCAGACUCCUACGGGAGGCAGCAGUGGGGAAUAUUGCACAAUGGGCGGAAGCCUGAUGCAGCAACGCCGCGUGCGGGAUGACGGCCUUCGGGUUGUAAACCGCUUUCGCCUGUGACGAAGCGUGAGUGACGGUAAUGGGUAAAGAAGCACCGGCUAACUACGUGCCAGCAGCCGCGGUGAUACGUAGGGUGCGAGCGUUGUCCGGAUUUAUUGGGCGUAAAGGGCUCGUAGGUGGUUGAUCGCGUCGGAAGUGUAAUCUUGGGGCUUAACCCUGAGCGUGCUUUCGAUACGGGUUGACUUGAGGAAGGUAGGGGAGAAUGGAAUUCCUGGUGGAGCGGUGGAAUGCGCAGAUAUCAGGAGGAACACCAGUGGCGAAGGCGGUUCUCUGGGCCUUUCCUGACGCUGAGGAGCGAAAGCGUGGGGAGCGAACAGGCUUAGAUACCCUGGUAGUCCACGCUGUAAACGGUGGGUACUAGGUGUGGGGUCCAUUCCACGGGUUCCGUGCCGUAGCUAACGCUUUAAGUACCCCGCCUGGGGAGUACGGCCGCAAGGCUAAAACUCAAAGGAAUUGACGGGGCCCCGCACAAGCGGCGGAGCAUGCGGAUUAAUUCGAUGCAACGCGUAGAACCUUACCUGGGUUUGACAUGGAUCGGGAGUGCUCAGAGAUGGGUGUGCCUCUUUUGGGGUCGGUUCACAGGUGGUGCAUGGCUGUCGUCAGCUCGUGUCGUGAGAUGUUGGGUUAAGUCCCGCAACGAGCGCAACCCUUGUUCACUGUUGCCAGCACGUUAUGGUGGGGACUCAGUGGAGACCGCCGGGGUCAACUCGGAGGAAGGUGGGGAUGACGUCAAGUCAUCAUGCCCCUUAUGUCCAGGGCUUCACGCAUGCUACAAUGGCUGGUACAGAGAGUGGCGAGCCUGUGAGGGUGAGCGAAUCUCAGAAAGUCGGUCUCAGUUCGGAUUGGGUCUGCAACUCGACCUCAUGAAGUCGGAGUCGCUAGUAAUCGCAGAUCAGCAACGCUGCGGUGAAUACGUUCCCGGGGCU
rnacentral:rRNA from 1 species